rnacentral:lncRNA from 1 species
GUCAACCGCCACCUGCCAGCCGGCUGCAUUAGCGAUCUCCAGCGCCAAGUCCCGAUCCCAGUACUCCACCGGCAAUUGAGGGAGACAAACCUAAGCAACUACCCUGUUCACACUCUUUGCCCCAGGGAUGAAGUCCGGCUGCCACCUAUCCAUGGCGUGGAGUUAGCCGGCGACCAUCCACAGGCCGUUCCCCAUCGGCGCCUCCCUAUCGGCCUCAUUCUUGAAACGUAUCAACAGAUGCUCCUCCGCCAUCAAUAUGGCUUCGGGGUCAUAGCCGAGGUUUCCCUUAGCACGGAGUUCCCGAACCACCUGCUGCUCCGGCACCCACCUCCCCAGACUGCGCAUUAUGACGGCGUGGAGCUCCAUGCCAUCUGAGCUCUCCCCAAUCUUUCUGACGGUAUCACCAACACCUCAGUGUAGUGCCGCUGCAGGAUCUUCAACUCCUCGUCGGAGAUAUGGUGAUUAGACCAAGACCAAGAGUCUCUUCGUGCGGGGCCUCUGGCGACCUCGACCCAUGGCUUGUUGAUGACAGCUACCUCUGCCGCCGGGCGCUCGCCGUCGGCUCUUUCCUCAGCACCAUCCCCCUUCACCAUCUCCAGUUGAUAAUCUCCCAUGAUAACGCACCCAGGGUGUUCGACAGAAAUCCGCACUCAAACA